GACGAACGCUGGCGGCGUGCCUAAUACAUGCAAGUCGAACGCAGUGGGGACGGGUGAGUAACACGUGGGUAACCUCCCAUCAGAGGGGAUAACACUUGGAAACAGGUACUACACCGAUAAUGAUGGAUGGACCCGCGGUGCAUUAGCUAGUUGGUGAGGUAACGGCUCACCAAGGCCACGAUGCAGAGCGGUACUGAGAGGGGGACCGGGCACACUGGAACUUAGAACCGGCCCAGAAUCCUACGGGAGGCAGCAGUAGGGAAUCUUCGGCAAUGGACGAAAGUCUGACCGAGCAACGCCGCGUGAAUGAAGAAGGUUUUCGGAUCGGAAAACUCUGUUGUUAGAGAAGCGGUAUCUAACCAGAAAGCCACGGCUAACUACGUGCCAGCAGCCGCGGUAAUAC
rnacentral:rRNA from 1 species